CCACGACCCCAUAGGUGGAUUCCGCCACCAAUAGAUUACUGAAAGCUCAAUGUGGACGCGGCCGUGUCACGCUCGGGCACGUUUGGCGCAGUUGGUGUGGUUUGCAGGGAUGAGAGGGGUUUGUUCAUGGGAGCGUCAGCUCUCGUUUUCAGGGGACUCCGCAACCCCCAGGUGCUAGAAGCACUAGCUAUUCGAGAGGCAUUAGCACUUUCAGAAGAUCUCUAUAUCAACCAAAUACAGGUGGCCUCCGAUUGUAAGGUGGUGGUAGAUGCAAUCAUGCAAGGAAGCUCAGCAAACUUUGGAGCCAUUGUCGAAGAAAUCAAGGCUAGAGCAACUACGUUUAUUUCAUGUUACGUUUACUCAUGA
rnacentral:rRNA from 1 species